UUCCACCUUCCCGUCCCGGCCGCUUGGCUGCUCCGGAGCUGCUCUCCACCAGCGGCUCCCACUCAGCCCAAGAGCUGCUGCGGCCCCCCCACUAUUAGGAUGUGGACCGAGUAGGACCCAAGGGCCCCGGUGCCGCUUCCCGAGAACGUCCUCGAGUUGCCCUUGCUUUGGCCUCGCAGUAGGCCUGGCAGUCGGCCCACCACGCUGCUUUUGGUGCCACCGGGUGCACCCAGGGGAAACGGGAGCAGCUCUGGGGCGCUGAGCUGCACGGCCACGGUGCUGCAGUGCCCUGGAGGUCGCGGGCACAGACGUGUCCUCAGUCCGCACCAUUCCUGAAGUCCUCCGCUCACCUGCGGCCUCUCACGCAACAAGGAAAAGACAGCAUGAGCACAGGGACCAGUAGCAACCCCUGUACUAUAACCAUCUCUCUGCCUUGUCAAUUGCUCCAGUGGUCAACGUGUAUCUCGGAGGGACUUUGUGGAAACUCCAGAAAAUGCAGGAAGACGACAGGGCAGAGGUCAGUGACCGUGGGCACAGACAUCCUUCCUCAGUCCUGGCCUCUUGUGCCCGCCAGCACGGAGCUCACAGCCCUCUGGAUGCGGCUUGCCUGGCGUGUCGGACCUCUGGGCGCUGGCAGUCACACUGAGCUGCCCGCUGACGUGGUCAUGUCCUGACAUCGUUUCUUGUCUUUCCCCAUAGAUACAGCAAUUCCAGCAGGCAGUGUCCGAGCUCAGAGCACAGCAGUGCCAUCAGACACCUGACUGGGCGCUGAAAAGCUUUGGUGCCACCAUCGACAUGCGGAGAACUUCUGAGACAUAUGAAUACAAGAAGUGGAGUUGCAGGCUCUGCAGGCUCUUCUCCCCCAGGAACCCUCCGGAUACUAUACUGCAGGUAUCGUGGCGGCAAUCAGCAGUGCUGGUUGCAACCCUCGCUCUCCCCUCAGGGGUCUCCCCUCAGCCCCAGCAUACUGUUCAAGCCGUGAAACCAAAGGCCCGAUACGGGGCUGGGUGUGCUGGAAAUCGGUGGUUCCCCUCAGGAGGGCACCUGAGCUCAACUGCUGUGUGUGGCCCGCAAUCCUCAGGCACAGCUGGCCGAGAGAGCUCCUCCCCGGGGACACCUCGGUGCCACAGCCGUCCCAGCAGUCCCUCGGGGGGGCGGAGCUGGGGCCUGCAGAGCCAGUGCUGGACAGAGAUGCUUCCCUGAGGUCCCACUCCGAUGUUUUCCUAACCACCAUCUUCCCCUUGUCAGUCACACCGACAGCCCCUUUGUCGGGCAGGGAGCUAAGGCCCUGUCUUUCUGCCCGUUUCCUCACACGGAAGCCACUCACAAGCAGAAGUACGACCCACAGACGCUCGCUGCCUUUGCCUUCCGCUAAACCAGGAGCGGUAUGGCCCAGCGCUCUCUCCUACUUCUCUGCUCUCCCAUUCCGUUUGCAGCCGAGUACUUCCCCCGGAGAGUGCUGGCCCAUGGAAGGACAUCAGGGCCAGGUGGUCAUCAGGUUGCCAGCUGAAAUCCUACCCACUUGUGUCACCGUGCAGCACAUCUUCCAAGAGGUGUCUCCGUCUGGCACCAUCAGCAGUGCCCCCAGAGACAUCGCUGUCUUGGGACUGUAUGCAAGCAGAAAAGAGGAGAUUCCCCUUGGAUCAUUCACCUUUGAUGUGCGGAAAGAGCCCAUCCAGACCUUUGUGCUGACGGUACGGUGCAUGCACGGGGCAGCACGCCAUCGAGGACGCCUGCUGCCUGCCCCUCCCUGUGUCCCCAGAUGCCAGCAGCCCCGCAACCUGGAGCCCUCCGGUUCCACAGCCCCGCUCUCCUGCUUUCUGGAGCUCCUUAGCAACAGGACUGGCAGGGGGAGAGCCCCUGAGCGCAGCAUGGGGCCUUACACACCCCUUUCUUUAUUCUUCCCCAUUUCCUCUGCAGAAUAAUCCUCCCAGAGCCUUCCAGUAUAUCAAGUUUCUGGUGAAGAGCAACUGGGGACAUCCAAAAUACACCUGCAUUUAUCGAGUGCAGGUGCAUGGGAAGGUGGUGAAACAGAAAAAACGGUUUUUUAAUGGAUUGGCAGACGUAAAAUAAAGACAUCAACUACUUAC